rnacentral:rRNA from 1 species
UACGUAGGGUGCAAGCGUUAAUCGGAAUUACUGGGCGUAAAGCGUGCGCAGGCGGUUGUGCAAGACCGAUGUGAAAUCCCCGGGCUUAACCUGGGAAUGGCAUUGGUGACUGCACGGCUAGAGUGUGUCAGAGGGGGGUAGAAUUCCACGUGUAGCAGUGAAAUGCGUAGAGAUGUGGAGGAACACCGAGUGGCGAACGGCAGCCCCCUGGGUCA